CACACACACACACACACACACACACACACACACACUGUACACUGGAGAUACUGAGGUACACACACACACACACUGUACACUGGAGAUACUGAGGUACACACACACACACACACACACACACACACACACACACACACACACUCUGUACACUGGAGACACUGAGGUACACACACACUCUCUCACACACACUCACUCACUCACUCACUCACUCACACACACACACACACACACACACACACACACACACACACACACACACACACACACACACACACACACACACACACACACAGUUUCCCUCUGUGGUGAUUGUAAUUGUAGUGAUGUGAUAUUGUCAUUGUUGUGUGUGUGAGAUGAGAGUAAAUGUUGUGUAUAUAAAGAUUUUGUGUAGUUGAUGUUUUCAGAGCUAAAACUGAGUGUGUUAAGUGUGAGAAGGUUUUCUUUCUUGCAAGAUGUGUGACUGCAGUAUUACAGAUGAAGGUUGUGCUGCUCUGGCUUCUGCUCUGAGGUCAAACUCCUCAUCACGCCUGAGAGAACUGGAUCUGAACAGUAAUAAUCCAGGAGAAUCAGGAGAGAAGCUGCUCUCUGAUCUACUGAAGGAUCCACACUGUAACCUGGAGACACUACACAUUAAGAAUAAUAAACUCACCAGGACUGGCGUAUGACGGGAGUCUCACCUCAAACCUCUUCUCCAGCAUAAAGCAGUCUUGGUGAAGAGUUAGAACCCGUCCCACAUUUCCAGCAGUUUGGGAGCUGAAUCAUUAAACUUAAAGGGGCAGAGCAGAAACAAAGUCAAGAACAGGCAGAAGGUCGUACACAGGAGAAAUCAACACACGUAACCAAAUAUCUGCUGUACAAAGCAACGGCACCGAUCUGCCCCGGGGAUGGAGACUGACGAGGCUUAAGUACACGUCCGGAAAUGUACAGCCAACUUAUCCCAAAGCACGAGGCGGGAGCAGGCGUGUACGAGAUGUGAUCGUCCAAUGGCAAGCAGGAACAUGACGCACCGCAGUAGACUGGGCUUAAAAGAGGAGGAGACAAGACACCCAUCCCUCCCCCGACAUAGACACACGAAUGGAACAUAGUACAAACAGAAAUACAACUGAGGACGUAACAAUGGUCAGGUAUCAAAUAAAAUGUAAACGUGCAUUGAUGAAGUUAAUGUUGUUAGUAAUUGUUUAUAAAUUACCAUGGUAACACGGAGCUCCAAGGUAUAAAAAUAUGGAGUUUGUCAUCAAUCAAACAGUAACCAGUUUUAAUACCUAAAAAGUUUACAUAGCAAAAUUUAGCAAAGCGCUUUACAGUAAAUUAAAAUGUAAAAUUAAACUAAUGAAAUGCUGUGCAGCACAUGCUUAUGUUAAUGUUUGUUUCAUUAUAUGAUCAUAUAAAUAAAUAAAUACUCCCAAAGUCACCAUAAUUGAAAGCUUUUUGCUGUUAAACAUUUAGAGAUUGAUGUUGUGGUGACUCAGUAUUUCACUCAGUAUAUCUGGGUAAGACACAGUGAACGACUCACUGCUGGCAUUCAUGAAGAAGUCAUAAACUCCACUGGAAUAAUAAAUAGGAUCUAAUAAAACCAUGAGUGGAAAUUAUUGGUGUAAGUUUGUAAGGAUAGACUUCCUCCAACCUGGAACUAUAUCCUCCAGUCCACGCGGUGGCGGUAACGCGCCUAACAGCUGCGUCUCCGACCAGUAGAAAUCACAGAAGAAGAAAAAGCUGCAGCGGGUAUCUCCUGAGCAGUUGAGUUAUUACACCGAACUAAUCAUCUCCAGAUUAAAUUAUUUCUGACAGUUUUACAGUUAGGUUUGAUCCAGUUUAAAAGUAAAAGCUGGUUAUUUUGUCUGUGUUUGAGGAAUUAAAACCGUUCUGUUUUUAAACCCGAGUACCUCAUCCAAGUUCUGCAGAUGUUCAUUAUACCCUGAGACUAGAAUGUCAUCCAGAUAAACUGUGACGCGUGCGAUGUCUUGCAGAAUCCCUUCUAUUGUGUGCUGGAAGAUCGCUGGACUUGAAGCACCUCCAAAUGGUGGCCUGUUGGGAAUGAGAAACUCUGACACAACAGUACAUCCUGACCAUUGGUACUGUGUACACAUCAACAUACACACACGUCUCCAUGCUGGACAUCUCAGGAGCUUUCACACACAGUGCUAGGAAUAUCACGGGACAGAGAAACGCACCUCCAAAGUGUAUCAGUAUGAAGCAGGCGGUGACGGCGCACUGAUUCACUCUCGGAGCUCGGUUCACUAAUGACCGAAUCACCGUGGAACCGACUAAAGAUAACUCACACCUUACGGAGAAGAAGAACAAGAGGAGGAGAAGAUGAGCUGGAGUGGGGCAAAGAGAACUGCAUUCAGAUCAAAUGGAUACGAGAGAGGUGGCCGAGUUGUUUGAGGAUCUGAAGAAUCGAGUGUCACAAUUCAACAUGCACAUCAGCGAAACUUCUCCCUCUGACUACACCAGCGCGCACACAGAAAUUCAUAGUGCAGGUGGCGAUUGCAGGCGCAUUUUAUCCGAACUGCUUCCUCCAGGGAACAGUGGACGAGGAGCUCGCCUCCAAGGAACUCUAUGGAAACGACCCCAGGACCACCAUAGUGGUGUGUAAUCUCCCUCCAUUUGCAUUCCUCUACUAUAAACAGCUCCAGUCUCUCUUCAGACACUGGUCAAGUCAAAUCCAUCUCCUUUGACAGCUCCAGGGCCUAUGUAGAGUUCUACCGCUCGUCAAUGAGAGGUUCUGGCGUUCUCCCAGAGGUCUCUCUGUCUCUCCUCCUCGCGCAGAAGAGACUUCCUCUCCAUCUCAACGUUUAACCCGCUGGAGAGGUGGAGACUUGGGCAGGGGGGUAGUGUAUCUCACACCUCAGAUAUACACGGGUGAAUGUGGAUUUUCAGAAUCAGUCAGUGAGCCCUGUCGGGGUUCUGAGCAGCUCCGUUGAGCUGGAGAAUCUUCCGUCUAACCCUGUCUUUAUCGUCAAUAUCACCGAGAGCCAAAAUACUGCAUGUCAUGGGGAGUAAUGUGGAGGUGUUCUUUGUGGACUUUGGAAACACUUCCAAGGUGCCAUGUAACUCUCUCUGGAACUUCCUGCUGACCGGCAAGCUCUGUAUUUCAGGCUCAGGAGUUCAGCGUGGCGUGUUUGGCAUCAUCGGCACAGUCAGUCAAGAAGUCAGUGUUACAGACUGCAGUUCAUAGAAACCUCUUCACGGCUAAAGCUGCAGAGAUGGAGGUCGAGGGGACCAUGAAGAGGCGGCUUCAGCUGGCAUGAGAUCGAGAGUGUGGGCGCAAGAGCAGACUUUUGAUAAAGGAGGGUAUUUACAGUGUUUUAACUGCUGUGUUUUUUGCGCUAUUAUUAAUUUGUUAAAAUGUUCAUAUUAUAGUCUAUUUUUAAUUGUUUAUAAAAGUCCUUGCUGUUUUUAUGUGGCUGAAUUAGUGUGUGUGCACGUGUGUGUGUGUGUGUGCGUGUUGGUAGCUGGGUGGGUAUAUAGUUCUGGUCUGAAGUUGACAUACCCCUUGCAGGAGAAAGAGACCCUGUGUAAUCUGUUUAAACGACUUUUACGCAUGUUUUGCAGAGAGAUCAUUUUCACCUUGCUGUUUGGGUCUCUGUCCCACACUGUUACAGUGCAGUAUUGAGAGCGCGAGGGAGAUCGAUUUUCUAUCAGAAACAGUAACUAUAUAAAAUGGACGUCAACACGCACCACUCUGUGAGGUCAUUUCUCGCUCUCAACAGAGUAGUUGUGAUUGUUCAGUGUUUACGACGGGGCCAAAACAUUCAAGGCCAUGGUGUAUUUUGACUGUUCCUGUAGCAUAAUCUCACCAAACUGUGUGUACACGAGUCCACAGACACUGAGUCUAUUCACAGUUCCAUGCUGUGUAGAUGUUCUGCUCAUCCUCACUGUACCGUAAAGGUCAGAACCUCACAUCUGUAACCUUGUAGCUUUCCUUAAUCAACACGACUGCGACCAAGCUUGUGUAGCACUACUAUUUUUAGAUCUUCGCCUCUCAAAUCUAUCGGCGCCCUACGCGUCCGCCUCUCAAAUCUGUUGGCACCCUACGCGGCUGGCUCUCAAAUCUAUUGGCGCCCUAUGCGUCCGUCUGUCAAAUCUAUUGGCGCCCUAUGCGUCGGGCUCUCAAAACUAUUGGCGCCCUUCACGGGCAGUUCUCAAAAGUAUUGGCACCCGAUCCGAAUUUUGCCACGGCAAGCACCACUCACAUUUUCUUCAGGAAAUGUACCUUAAAAUAAUAAAAGUCUCUCACUAGGCUGUGUGUCGAGAUAAACGUAAAAACAUCUUGAGUUUGUGUUCACCACAGACCUUAUUUCCGGCAUUUAACCCAAAACCCCAUUGACGGAAGUGCUAAUAUGCUGACUCGUUUCUGGGUUUCACGACUCAUUCCUGCAGCACUCUGUAAGACGGGCUGUUGUUAUCAAACCAUCGAAGUAGGAUAAGCUGCUUUGGUAAUGAUUCUUUAAAUGAGCCGAUUCAGAAUCCUCUUCUUGAAUCGUUUGAGUCAUUCUCACUCGGUCAGGGUUGCACGUGUGGGUUGCUUUUCCUGCAUGUGUAAUCAGCACGUGUUCACAGACCAUAAAUCCCGACCCCAUGGUAGACACUCGACAGAAAUUUCAUACUAAAGUUGUGUUCGAGUUGUGCAGGCUUGUGUCACCUGACUUAAAGAAGGCAUUGUUUGAAGGGCUUGAUCAGCACCUCCCACGGCUCCUGCAGUUGUACAACACCGAGAGGCAGUGAAAUACCCGAAAUCCAACAUGUGAUGACCCGCAUUGAUCAAGAGUUUAUUUUGGAUACAGGCAGAGGAAGCUCAGCGAAAGCUUAAGAGACAGAAUGGAGAGGACCCAGCCCUGCCUCCAUUCUGCCCACUGUUUGCCAGCUUGGGAAACAUUCUGCAGUGUGACGUGCUGCUUGGCAUGCUGGGAGCUGUGCUGCAGUGGGCU